rnacentral:sRNA from 1 species
AAACCUCGCCUGGCUCCCAGCUGGUGCUGAAGCUCGUCCGUUCACCAUCCGCCCUCGGCUUCCGCGGGGCGCUGGGCCGCCAGCCUCGGCACCGUCCUUUCCUUUCUCCCUCGCGUUAGGCAGGUGACAGCAGGGACAUGUCUCGGGAGAUGCAGGACGUAGACCUCGCUGAGGUGAAGCCUUUGGUGGAGAAAGGGGAGACCAUCACCGGCCUCCUGCAAGAGUUUGAUGUCCAGGAGCAGGACAUCGAGACUUUACAUGGCUCUGUUCACGUCACGCUGUGUGGGACUCCCAAGGGAAACCGGCCUGUCAUCCUCACCUACCAUGACAUCGGCAUGAACCACAAAACCUGCUACAACCCCCUCUUCAACUACGAGGACAUGCAGGAGAUCACCCAGCACUUUGCCGUCUGCCACGUGGACGCCCCUGGCCAGCAGGAUGGCGCAGCCUCCUUCCCCGCAGGGUACAUGUACCCCUCCAUGGAUCAGCUGGCUGAAAUGCUUCCUGGAGUCCUUCAACAGUUUGGCUAAACAACCCUGAGAUGGUGGAGGGCCUCGUCCUUAUCAACGUGAACCCUUGUG